rnacentral:rRNA from 1 species
GAUGAACGCUGGCGGCGUGCCUAAUACAUGCAAGUCGAGCGAACGGACGAGAAGCUUGCUUCUCUGAUGUUAGCGGCGGACGGGUGAGUAACACGUGGAUAACCUACCUAUAAGACUGGGAUAACUUCGGGAAACCGUAGCUAAUACCGGAUAAUAUUUUGAACCGCAUGGUUCAAAAGUGAAAGACGGCUUUCUGUCACUUAUAGAUGGAUCCGCGCUGCAUUAGCUAGUUGGUAAGGUAACGGCUUACCAAGGCAACGAUGCAUAGCCGACCUGAGAGGGUGAUCGGCCACACUGGAACUGAGACACGGUCCAGACUCCUACGGGAGGCAGCAGUAGGGAAUCUUCCGCAAUGGGCGAAAGCCUGACGGAGCAACGCCGCGUGAGUGAUGAAGGUCUUCGGAUCGUAAAACUCUGUUAUUAGGGAAGAACAUAUGUGUAAGUAACUGUGCACAUCUUGACGGUACCUAAUCAGAAAGCCACGGCUAACUACGUG